rnacentral:lncRNA from 1 species
CUUCUUUUCUCUCUUAUGUACUUCUUUCUUAAACUUCCUCUAAAUCUCUCUCCUUUACUCUCUAGCUGAUUGAUUACAUCCUCGUGGGGUUGUACUUGUUGUAAUUCCUUGAAAAUGUUCCUCUCGUUAUUGAACAGUUAAAAGCAGUUAUUAAAGCAAUAGAAAAGAACUUAUAGCUAUGAGUGAGCUGACCCAGCUCAAGAAACAGUAUACAAGCAUCAACCAGAAGAAAAUUAGAGCUUUUGAGACCUGGAAGUUUAUAGAACAAUGUAGAAUUAAUGAAGUCUUCCCUAACACCAUUAACAAUAUAAAGUUACCGAUACGUUCCAGGAAAGUACUAUAUAAUACGAAAAGAAUAUGUUUAAAAGUGACGAUAAUGGAUGAAAGAAGAAGGUAUUUUAACUUCCUCUGAGGAGGGUUAUUCAAUGUGGAAAUCAAUCCAGUCACCAUGAGAUAUAGAUGCAAGAUAGAAAGAUAUUCCAACAUGAGAUUGAUCUAUAGUAGGAGGAAAC